rnacentral:rRNA from 1 species
GAUGAACGCUGGCGGCGUGCUUAACACAUGCAAGUCGAACGGAAAGGCCGAAGCUUGCUUCGGUACUCGAGUGGCGAACGGGUGAGUAACACGUGGGUGAUCUGCCCUGUACUUCGGGAUAAGCUUGGGAAACUGGGUCUAAUACCGGAUAUGACAAUCUCUUGGAUGGGGUUGUGGAAAGCUUUUGCGGUAUGGGAUGAGCUCGCGGCCUAUCAGCUUGUUGGUGGGGUAAUGGCCUACCAAGGCGUCGACGGGUAGCCGGCCUGAGAGGGUGUACGGCCACAUUGGGACUGAGAUACGGCCCAGACUCCUACGGGAGGCAGCAGUGGGGAAUAUUGCACAAUGGGCGCAAGCCUGAUGCAGCGACGCCGCGGGGGGGAGGACGGCCUUCGGGUUGUAAACUCCUUUCGCAACCGACGAAGCUUUUUGUGACGGUAGGUUGAGAAGAAGCACCGGCUAACUACGUG